GACGAACGCUGGCGGCGUGCUUAACACAUGCAAGUCGAACGAAGUGGCGAACGGGUGAGUAACGCGUAAUCAACCUGCCCUUCAGAGGGGGACAACAGUUGGGACCGACUGCUAAUACCGCAUACUGAAUGAGGGGAUUGCGUCUGAUUGGCUGGUUGGAGGGGUCAUGGCCGACCAAGGCGGUGAUCGGUAGCGGGUCCGAGGGGAUGAACGGCCACAUUGUGACUGAGACACGGCCCAGACUCCUACGGGAGGAAGCAGUGGAGAAUCUUCCGCAAGGGACGAAAGUCGGACAGAGCAACGCGGCGUGAGUGAUGACGGCCUUCGGGUGGGAAAGCUCUGUUAAUCGGGACGCGGUACCUGAAUAGAAAGCCACGGCUAACUACGUGCCAGCCGCCGCGGUAAUAC
rnacentral:rRNA from 1 species